AGAGUUUGAUCCUGGAUCACAGUGAACGCUGGCGUGCGUCCUUAACACAUGCAAGUCGAACGAGAACGGAUUAUAGCUUGCUAUAAUUGUCAGCUAAGUGGCGCACGGGUGAGUAAUGUAUAGGUAAUAUGCCUCUUACUAAGGGAUAACAAAUGGAAACGUUUGCUAAUACCUUAUACUCCUUAUUAACAUAAGUUAAUAAGGGAAAGAUUUAUUGGUAAGAGAUUAGCCUGUAUUGUAUCAGUUAGUUGGUGGGGUAAUGGCUUACCAAGACUAUGACACAUAACUGGUUUGAGAGGAUGAUCAGUCACACUGGAACUGAGACACGGUCCAGACUCCUACGGGAGGCAGCAGUGGGGAAUAUUGCACAAUGGACGAAAGUCUGAUGCAGCAACGCCGCGUGGAGGAUGACACAUUUCGGUGCGUAAACUCCUUUUAUAUGAGAAGAUAAUGACGGUAUUAUAUGAAUAAGCACCGGCUAACUCCGUGCCAGCAGCCGCGGUAAUACGGGGGGUGCAAGCGUUACUCGGAAUCACUGGGCGUAAAGAGCAUGUAGGCGGAUUAAUAAGUUUGAAGUGAAAUCCUAUAGCUUAACUAUAGAACUGCUUUGAAAACUGUUAAUCUAGAAUGUGGGAGAGGUAGAUGGAAUUUCUGGUGUAGGGGUAAAAUCCGUAGAUAUCACCAGGAAUACCGAUUGCGAAGGCGAUCUACUGGAACAUUAUUGACGCUGAGGCAUGAAAGCGUGGGGAGCAAACAGGAUUAGAUACCCUGGUAGUCCACGCCCUAAACAAUGCACACUAGUUGUUGCGAUGCUAGUCAUUGCAGUAAUGCACUUAACAGAUUAAGUGUGCCGCCUGGGGAGUACGGUCGCAAGAUUAAAACUCAAAGGAAUAGACGGGGACCCGCACAAGCGGUGGAGCAUGUGGUUUAAUUCGAAGAUACACGAAGAACCUUACCUGGGCUUGAUAUCCUAAGAAUCCUGUAGAGAUAUGGGAGUGCUAGCUUGCUAGAACUUAGAGACAGGUGCUGCACGGCUGUCGUCAGCUCGUGUCGUGAGAUGUUGGGUUAAGUCCCGCAACGAGCGCAACCCUCGUUUUUAGUUACUAUAUGUCUAAAGAUACUGCUGGUUAUAAACCGGAGGAAGGUGAGGACGACGUCAAGUCAUCAUGCCGUUUAUAUCCUGGGCUACACACGUGCUACAAUGGUUAAGACAAUGGGUUGCAAGUUUGUAAAAAUAAGCUAAUCUCAAAAACUUAAUCUUAGUUCGGAUUGUAGGCUGCAACUCGACUCCAUGAAGCUGGAAUCGCUGGUAAUCGCGGAUCAGCACGCCGCGGUGAAUACGUUCCCGGGUCUUGUACACACCGCCCGUCACACCACGAGAGUUUGUAACACCCGAAGCCGGUGGCUAACCCUUUUAGGGAGGGAGCCGUCGAAGGUGGGAUAGAUGAUUGGGGUGAAGUCGUAACAAGGUAACC
rnacentral:rRNA from 1 species